ensembl:piRNA 21ur-3981 ncRNA
UGUUCUCUAGAUGGGACCUGA